rnacentral:rRNA from 1 species
GACGAACGCUGGCGGCGUGCUUAACACAUGCAAGUCGAACGAUGAAACCUAGCUUGCUAGGUCGAUUAGUGGCGAACGGGUGAGUAACACGUGACUAACCUGCCCCUUUCUCUGGGAUAACGCUCCGAAAGGAGUGCUAAUACCGGAUACUCACACCGAGGCACAUGCCUUGGUGUGGAAAGUUUUUCGGAAAGGGAUGGAGUCGCGGCCCAUCAGCUUGUUGGUGAGGUAACGGCUCACCAGGGCGACGACGGGUAGCCGGCCGGAGAGGGCGACCGGCCACACUGGGACUGAGACACGGCCCAGACUCCUACGGGAGGCAGCAGUGGGGAAUAUUGCACAAUGGGCGCAAGCCUGAUGCAGCGACGCCGCGUGAGGGAUGAAGGUCUUCGGAUUGUAAACCUCUUUCAGUAGGGACGAAGCGAAAGUGACGGUACCUAAAGAAGAAGCACCGGCUAACUACGUGCCAGCAGCCGCCGAAA